AAGGGUACCCUUAAUGCCCAACCAAGAGUUAAUAGUUACGUCCUAUUUUGGCCUGGACGUAAUGGUUGGUAAGCUC
rnacentral:ncRNA from 1 species